rnacentral:rRNA from 2 species
UACGGAGGGUGCAAGCGUUAAUCGGAAUUACUGGGCGUAAAGCGUGCGUAGGCGGCUUAUUAAGUCGGAUGUGAAAUCCCCGAGCUUAACUUGGGAAUUGCAUUCGAUACUGGUGAGCUAGAGUAUGGGAGAGGAUGGUAGAAUUCCAGGUGUAGCGGUGAAAUGCGUAGAGAUCUGGAGGAAUACCGAUGGCGAAGGCAGCCAUCUGGCCUAAUACUGACGCUGAGGUACGAAAGCAUGGGGAGCAAAC